rnacentral:rRNA from 1 species
AGAACGACUCUCGACAACGGAUAUCUCGGCUCUCGCAUCGAUGAAGAACGUAGCGAAAUGCGAUACUUGGUGUGAAUUGCAGAAUCCCGUGAACCAUCGAGUCUUUGAACGCAAGUUGCGCCCGAAGCCAUCAGGUUGAGGGCACGUCUGCCUGGGCGUCACAC